CCUACGGGUGGCAGCAGUGAGGAAUAUUGGUCAAUGGACGGGAGCCUGAACCAGCCAAGUCGCGUGAGGGACGACGGUCCUAUGGAUUGUAAACCUCUUUUGUCGGGGAACAAAGGCGCCCACGGGUGUGCGUAUGAGUGUACCCGACGAAAAAGCAUCGGCUAACUCCGUGCCAGCAGCCGCGGUAAUCCGGAGGAUUCGAGCGUUAUCCGGAUUUAUUGGGUUUAAAGGGUGGGUAGGCGGACGGUCAAGUCAGCGGUAAAAACGCGGUGCUCAACGCCGUACAGCCGUUGAAACUGGCAGUCUUGAGUGGGCGAGAAGUAGGCGGAAUGAGUGGUGUAGCGGUGAAAUGCAUAGAUAUCACGCAGAACUCCGAUUGCGAAGGCAGCAUACCGGGGUCCUACUGACGCUGAGGCACGAAAGCGUGGGUAUCGAACAGGAUUAGAUACCCGGGUAGUC
rnacentral:rRNA from 1 species